GGGGAGGUUCCCGAGUGGCCAAAGGGACCAGACUGUAAAUCUGACGGCAGCGCCUUCGGAGGUUCGAAUCCUCCCCUCCCCACCA
rnacentral:tRNA from 1 species